GAAUCUAGAAUGUCAAUACUGGAAACAUAUAUAAAAGCAUCACAUAAACUUGUCUCAAGUAUUAAAGCACAUGAAUCUAGACAAAGAGUGAAGACAUGAUGAAGACCAUAAUGCAACAAAUGCAGUUUCGAAAAUUAGAGUUGAAGUAACUCAACCACAAAUUUUGAGAUUCAGCAUGGAUUUGUGAUUACUAUCACUUGCAACAUUCACAAAUGCUUCAAACAAACUUGUUCACAACUGUAGAAAGUCAAGAAUUGCAAAAAAUCGAAUUAAAUGCGUGCUAGCAGAAACAAAUAUCAGAUGCAGAGGUUUGAAUGAGGAACUCAAUCACUUAAUUUGGAUUUUAAUGAAGCAUAGGUGUUGGAAUCACUUCAGGCACAUCCAAACACAUGAAACAAAGUUGCACGCAACAGAAAACACCAGAAAUCUGGACUGCAACAGAAUAUACCAAUUCAAACCAGAAAGCACGGUUUUAUGCAGAGAUAGUCUCGGUCAAUGCUAAAAAAUGCUUUGAUCAAAGCUAGGCAAUGCCUCAUGGCUUUAUAUGAUCAAAAUUGAGCUAGGAAAUCCAUGGACACACAACAAAAACGAAAAGCAAGGCUGGAACAGAAUCAAAACCUAGUGACAGAAUGAAAACUGCAAAGAUAAUUGCACAAUACCGUGACAGAAACGGAAUGUAAAAUUGGAUGAUGAAUUGGACUCAAACAAGUGAUAUGCACUGAUUAAAAUGUAAAGCAAACACUAAGGAUCAGAGAACGAACACAAUUCACUCAAACACGAACUGAAAACGAAAAAAAAAUUAAUGGAACAGUGACAUAUAAACAGAACAACACGGUAAAAGUGAAAGACGAAUUGAAUGAGUG
rnacentral:lncRNA from 1 species